GACAGAGGGCGCAAGCGUUGUUCGGAAUUACUGGGCGUAAAGCGCGUGUAGGCGGCCCGGUAAGUCGGAUGUGAAAGCCCUCGGCUCAACCGGGGAAGUGCACCCGAAACUGCAAAGCUAGAGUCUCGGAGAGGAUCGUGGAAUUCUCGGUGUAGAGGUGAAAUUCGUAGAUAUCGAGAGGAACACCGGUGGCGAAGGCGGCGAUCUGGACGAUGACUGACGCUGAGACGCGAAAGCGUGGGGAGCGAACAGG
rnacentral:rRNA from 1 species